rnacentral:rRNA from 1 species
CAGCACUCUGUAGCAAUACAGGGUGUGGGCGCGUGGCGAACGGGUGCGUAACACGUGGAUAACCUUCCUUGAGGUGGGGAAUAACCCAGUGAAAAUUGGGCUAAUACCGCAUAACAUCGCGAUGGCACAUGCUGAUGCGAUCAAAGGCGCAAGUCGCCACAAGAGGGAUCCGCGGCCGAUUAGCUUGUUGGCGAGGUAAUGGCUCACCAAGGCAAUGAUCGGUAGCCGGACUGAGAGGUUGGCCGGCCACACUGGAACUGAGACACGGUCCAGACUCCUACGGGAGGCAGCAGUGGGGAAUCUUGCACAAUGGACGAAAGUCUGAUGCAGCAACGCCGCGUGGGGGAUGAAGCUUCUCGGAGUGUAAACCCCUUUCGACCCGGAAGAAUGCCCGCAAGGGUAUGACGGUACGGGUAUAAGAAGCCCCGGCUAACUACGUGCCAGCAGCCGCGGUAAUACGUAGGGGGCCAGCGUUGCUCGGAAUUACUGGGCGUAAAGGGUCCGUAGGCGGUGUAGCAAGUCGAUAGUGAAAUCUCUGGGCUUAACCCAGAGGCUGCUAACGAAACUGCUGUGCUAGAGUGUGAGAGAGGCGAGUGGAAUUACGGGUGUAGCGGUGAAAUGCGUAGAUAUCCGUAGGAACAUCCGAGGCGAAGGCGGCUCGCUGGAUCACAACUGACGCUGAGGGACGAAAGCUAGGGGAGCAAACAGGAUUAGAUACCCUGGUAGUCCUAGCCCUAAACCAUCAGGACUUGGGGUUUGCCCUGUACGGGGCAAGUCCCGUAGCUAACGCGUUAAGUCCUGCGCCUGGGGAGUACGGUCGCAAGGCUG